AGGGGGUUAGUUAAAUACUAACAUUAGUUUGUCAAGCUAAAAUUACUGUAUGUGCUCUCUG
rnacentral:tRNA from 1 species